rnacentral:rRNA from 1 species
GAUGAACGCUGGCGGCGUGCCUAACACAUGCAAGUCGAGCGAGAAGUCAUGGAUGGAAUCUUCGGAGGAAAGAAAUGAUGGAAAGCGGCGGACGGGUGAGUAACGCGUAGGUAACCUGCCCUAUACAGAGGGAUAGCCACUGGAAACGGUGAUUAAUACCUCAUGACACUUUCUCUUCGCAUGGAGGGAAGGUCAAAGAUUUAUCGGUAUGGGAUGGACCUGCGUCUGAUUAGCUUGUUGGUGGGGUAACGGCCUACCAAGGCGACGAUCAGUAGCCGACCUGAGAGGGUGAUCGGCCACAUUGGAACUGAGACACGGUCCAA